UCUGCUUUUGGUGACGCCUGACCUUGAAUUGAAAAUGGAUGUUUGUACUUUUGUGGCUAUGUACUGUCCUAACAUAAUCUAACUUUAUGCUUUUGCCGUAAAGCCUCUUUGAAAAUCGAACAAUGUGGUUAGAUUAAGGAGAUGUUUAUCAUUUAAAUUGUGUAAAAUAGUUGAUUGUUUGAGAAAUUGAAAUUAUUAGAUUUUUGAUGUUUUGAAUUUCCAGCCUUGUUAGCAAUCCCGGCUCGGGGUUCAUUGCUAACCUGUAGCCCCAACAGGGUAUUAAGUUAAGAUCUUUUCAUUUUUCAGUUAAGUGCCUGCACCUGCUGUCCUUUCAAAUUCAAAUCCAAAUGUUUCAGUUGGGCAGUUAGGUUCCUGCAAGAACCCCGACCAACUAAGGAGGUUCCACGAUGAACCCCACCUCCUAUGGGGUUCUUGGAAGAACCUUUUGGGUGCAAUUUUCAGUGCCAAGAACCCUAAGGUUCUUUGAAGAACUUUGAGGAUCUUAGAAGAACUCUUGUUGAACCCCUAAUUUUUAGAGGGGAUCUGCUGUACCUAUGUUAUGCAGGAAAAAGUCAGUUACAAAUGAUUUUGUUUUGGUUAAAAACAGGUUGUCAUCCAGGAGGCUUUGAUUCAAUUUCCAAUAUCAUUGUGCACAUGGAAAUUCUGUAAGAAUAAUGCGGAUGCCAAUUAUUUAAUGGUCUGAUCGCAUUCUGCCCCCUAUAAAAAAAUUUUUUUUUACUUUUGGUGCCAGCGAGAAGAACACAAGAAAGUAGUCAAGACAACUAUCUUAAUUAAGGCUCCAUGUAUAUCUCAUUAGGUCAGGAUUUUAAGCCUCCUCCAUGUAUAUCUAACUAGGACAGGAUUUUUAAGCCUCCAUACAUCCACUUGUUGUAAUGUAUCCAUGACAUUCGUAAUUUCCCUAAGUGCAUGAGGGUGAUAGUUUGUAGUGUGAUUUCCUUCACGGUCCAUUGGGGUAGUUAAACCCGUAUUAUAAUCUCCCACCAUAAUAAUACAGUCAUUUGUUGCAUGUGAACUCGAUAGAGGAUUAUACAUAUUUUCAAAGAACCAUGGAUCAUCAUUAUUUGGACCGUAUAGAUUAAUUAGACAAAUCUGUUAAUGGUCCAAUAGCAUAUUUAAAAGGAUCCACCUUACUUGAGGUUCUGUUUGGACAGUUUGCAAAAUCGAUUUGAAAUUGUUAUUAAUUAAUAUCAUCACCAUCCCAGUCCUUUCCUCAUCUAUAGUUAUAGGGUAAGUUUUCCUGUAAACAAUAAAUAUUAUACCUUGUCCGUAGACUGCUUACAGGGUAAAGAAACCAACAUGUAAUUUGUCAUUUAGGUGAAGUAUCCCCUUAACAAGUUCAGGCAUGAAUUCCAAGUGGUUAGGGCUAAGGUUUGGGUAAGAGUUAAAACAGAGAGUGCCUAGCACUGGGAUUGAAUCUGCGAUGUUCGGAGUCGUAGCUCACCAUAGCUCAUAAUCCAUCCCCAUUGCCAUUUAUCAUCAGUUGAACGCUACUAGCGCACCACUAGCUAGAUAUUUGACAUCGGUUACAUCUCCACCAGAGAGGGUGGAAACACUCCUAACCUCCAAACCUGGCAGGCCUUCACUAAUGAGGAAUACGGGCUAGGCUGUCAGUGGGUUCAUUAAUGGAUCAAGGUUGCUUCCUUAACACAAACACACUGACAGAGGAAGUGAACGGAGCAAGAUUGUUUCCUUAACACAAACACACUGACAGAGGAAGUGAACGGAGCAAGGUUGUUUCCUUAACACAAACACACUGACAGAGAAAGUGAACGGAGCAAGGUUGUUUCCUUAACACAAACACACUGACAGAGAAAGUGAACGGAGCAAGGUUGUUUCCUUAACACAAACACACUGACAAAAGAAGUGAACGGAGCAAGGUUGUUUCCUUAACACAAUCACACUGACAGAGGAAGUGAACGGAGCAAGGUUGUUUCCUUAACACAAUCACACUGACAGAGGAAGUGAACGGAGCAUGGUUGCUUCCUCUGCAGAAAGACAGCAUCUAGCCCAAACACACACUCCUAUGAGUCAGCAGUUUAUGGGGAGCGUACUGUACAGUGCUUGUGAGCCAGUGGCUAAACUACCAAUCAUUUGGAAGGAAUGCCAUAAUUACUUUUGUAGGGUAAAAAGAGCAAGAAAAAAUGAAAGUUGAAGGUCCACAUCAGACUACAGUCUCUAAUAACACAGUUUCUCUCCCUCUGUAUUCGUUCCAGCCCCUCAGGGACCAAUGAAUGCCAACUUUCUGAUACACAGUUUGAUAGGAAGGCCUGUUUAGCUCUCUAACAAAUAUCAAUGUGGAAGUUUUACCUGUUGUUUCAACAAAUACUUUUCCGUAAAGGAGUAACUACUGCCUCCCCUGAUUCGUUUAAGGGUGUGCUUAUCUCUCCUGAAUGUCAACGGUAAUAAACAGUGCUAAACAUAAUAAUCGAUAAUACUCGUCAACAUACUUCAAAUCAAACCAUAUUCUAUUAAUCACAUGCACCUAAUACAACUGGUGUAGACUUUACAGUGAAACGCUUGCUCACAAACAUUUCCCAACUAUGCACAGUGGGGGAAAAAAGUAUAACUAAAACAAGAGGAAUGAAAUAAAAUACACAAGAAUGGAGCUAUUUACAGGAAGUACCAGUACCAGAUCACUGUGGAGCUAUAUACUGGGAGUACCAGUACCAGAUCAAUGUGGAGCUAUACACAGGGAGUACCAGUACCAGAUCAAUGUGGAGCUAUAUACUGGGAGUACCAGUAUCAGAUCAAUGUGGAGCUAUAUACAGGGAGUACCAGUACCAGAUCAAUGUGGAGCUAUACACAGGGAGUACCAGUACCAGAUCAAUGUGGAGCUAUAUACUGGGAGUACCAGUACCAGAUCAAUGUGGAGCUAUAUACAGGGAGUACCAGUACCAGAUCACUGUGGAGUUAUUUACAGAGAGUAUAAGUACCAGAUCACUGUGGAGUUAUAUACAGGGAGUACCAGUACCAGAUCAAUGUGGAGCUAUAUACAGGGAGUACCAGUACCUGAUCAAUGUGGAGUUAUAUACAGGGAGUACCAGUACCACAUCAAUGUGGAGCUAUAUACAGGGAGUAUCAGUACCAGACCAAUGUGGAGCUAUAUACAGGGAGUACCAGUACCAGAUCAAUGUGGAGCUAUAUACAGGGAGUACCUGUACCAGAUCAACGUGGAGCUAUAUACAGGGAGUACCAGUACCAGAUCAAUGUUGAGCUAUAUACAGGGAGUACCAGUACCAGGUCAAUGUGGAGCUAUAUACAGGGAGUACCAGUACCAGAUCAAUGUGAGGCUACAUACAGGGAGUACCAGUACCAAAUCAAUGUGGAGCUAUAUACAGGGAGUACCAGUACCAGAUCAAUGUGGAGCUAUAUACAGGCAGUACCAGUACCAGAUCAAUGUGGAGCUAUACACAGGGAGUAUCAGUACUAGAUCAAUGUGGAGCUAUAUACAGGGAGUACCAGUGCCAGAUCAAUGUAGACUUAUAUACAGGGAGUACCAGUACCAGAUCAAUGUUAGGCUAUAUACAGGGAGUACCAGUACCAGAUCAAUGUGGAGCUAUACACAGGGAGGACCAGUACCAGAUCAAUGUGGAGUUAUAUACAGGGAGUACCAGUACCAGAUCAAUGUAGACUUAUAUACAGGGAGUACCAGUACCAGAUCAAUGUGGAGCUAUAUACAGGCAGUACCAGUACCAGAUCAAUGUGAAGCUAUAUAUACGGAGUACCAGUACCAGAUCAAUGUGGAGCUAUAUACAGGGAGUAUCAGUACCAGAUCAAUGUGGGGCUAUAUACAGGGAGUACCAGUACCAGUACCAGAUCAAUGUGGAGUUAUAUACAGGGAGUACCAGUACCAGAUCAAUGUGGAGCUAUAUACAGGGAGUACCAGUACCAGAUCAAUGUGGAGCUAUAUACAGGGAGUACCAGUACCAGGUCAAUGUGGAGCUAUAUACAGGGAAUACCAGUACCAGAUCAAUGUGGAGCUAUAUACAGGCAGUACCAGUACCAGAUCAAUGUGGAGCUAUAUACUGGAAGUACCAGUACCAGAUCAAUGUGGAGCUAUAUACAGGGAGUACCAGUACCAGAUCACUGUGGAGCUAUAUACAGGGAGUACCUGUACCAGAUCAACGUGGAGCUAUAUACAGGGAGUACCAGUACCAGAUCACUGUGGAGCUAUAUACAGGGAGUACCUGUACCAGAUCAACGUGGAGCUAUAUACAGGGAGUACCAGUACCAGAUCAAUGUGGAGCUAUAUACAGGGAGUACCAGUACCAGGUCAAUGUGGAGCUAUAUACAGGGAAUACCAGUACCAGAUCAAUGUGGAGCUAUAUACAGGCAGUACCAGUACCAGAUCAAUGUGGAGCUAUAUACUGGAAGUACCAGUACCAGAUCAAUGUGGAGCUAUAUACAGGGAGUACCAGUACCAGAUCAAUGUGGAGCUAUAUACAGGGAGUAUCAGUACCAGAUCAAUGUGGAGCUAUACACAGGGAGUAUCAGUACCAGAUCAACGUAGAGCUGUAUACAAGGAGUACAAGUACCAGAUCAAUGUGGAGCUAUAUACAGGGAGUACCAGUACCAGAUCAAUGUGGAGCUAUAUACAGGGAGUAUCAGUGCCAGAUCAAUGUGGAGCUAUAUACAGGGAGUACCAGUACCAGAUCAAUGUGGAGCUAUAUACAGGCAGUACCAGUACCAGAUCAAUGUGAAGCUAUAUACAGGGAGUACCAGUACCAGAUCAAUGUGGAGCUAUAUACAGGCAGUACCAGUACCAGAUCAAUGUGGAGCUAUAUACAGGGAGUACCAGUACCAGCUCAAUUUGGAGCUAUAUACAGGCAGUACCAGUACCAGAUCAAUGUGGAGCUAUUCACAGGGAGUACCAGUACCAAAUCAAUGUGGAGCUAUAUACAGGGAGUCCCAGUACCAGAUCAAUGUGGAGCUAUUUACAGGGAGUAUCAGUACCAGAUCAAUGUGGGGCUAUAUACAGGGAGUACCAGUACCAGAUCAAUGUAGAGUUAAAUACAGGGAGUACCAGUACCAGAUCAAUGUGGAGCUAUAUACAGGGAGUACCAGUACCAGAUCAAUGUGGAGUUAUAUACAGGGAGUACCAGUACCAGAUCAAUGUGGAGUUAUAUACAGGGAGUACCAGUACCAGAUCAAUGUGGAGCUAUAUACAGGGAGUACCAGUACCAGAUCAAUGUGGAGUUAUAUACAGGGAGUACCAGUACCAGAUCAAUGUGGAGCUAUAUACAGGCAGUACCAGUACCAGAUCAAUGUGGAGUUAUACACAGGGAGUACCAGUACCAGAUCAAUAUGGAGCUAUACACAGGGAGUGCCAGUACCAGGUACUUGAGUUAAAUACAGUAUGUACUUGAAGGCAGGUUAAAAGUGAUCAGGAAUCAAGAUAGAUAGUAAUGCACGUAAAACAAAGAAUGGAGUAGCAGCAGCAAAUGAUUAGUGCAAAAGUGUGAGUGUGUGAGUGUGCGUGUAUGUAUUUUUCUUUGUAGUGUUUGAAUGUGUGAGGAAUUUGUGUGGGAGUGACAGUGUAGUGGGUGUGAAUGGUUGUGUAUGUGUUGUGUACAAUGCAUUCGGAAAGCAUUCAGACCCCUUGACUUUUACAAAAUUGUGUUACGUUACAGCCUUAUUACAAAAGUAAUUAAAUAACAUUUUUUUCCUCAUCAUUGCACACAAUACCCCAUAAUGAUAAAGAGAAAACAGGUUUUAAAAAAACAGAAAUACCUUAUUUACAUAAGUAUUCAGACACUUUGCAAUAAGACUCGAAAUUGAGCUCAGGUGCAUUCUUUUUCCAUUGAUCAUCCUUGAGAUGUUUCUACAACUUGAUUGGAGUGCACCUGUGGUAAACUCAAUUGUUGGACAUGAUUUGGAAAGGCACACACAUGUCUAUGUAAGGUCCCACAGAAGACAGCGCAUAUUAGAGCAAAAAUCAAGCCAUGGGGUCAAAGGAAUUGUCCGUAGUGCUCCGAGACAGGAGUGUGUCGAGGCACAGAUCUGGGGAAGGGUACCAAAAAAUUCUGCAGCACAGUUGACUCCAUCACUCUUAAAUGGAAGAACUUUGGUUGCACCAAGACUUUUCCUAGAGCUGGCCGCCCAGCCAAGCUGAGAAAUCUGGGGAGAAGGGCCUUAGUCAGGAGGUGACCAAGAACCGGAUGGUCACUCUGACAGAGCUCUAGAGUUCCUCUGUAGAGAUGGGAGAACCUCUGGUUCUCUGGUCUGAUGAAACCGAGAUUGAACUCUUUGGCCUGAUUGCCAAGCGUCACGUCUGGAGGAAACCUGGCACCAUCCCUAUGGUGAAGCAUGAUGGUGGCAGCAUCAUGCUGUGGAGAUGUUUUUCAGAGGCAAGGACUGGGAGAUUAGUCAGGAUCGAGGGAAAGAUGAACAGAGCAAAGUACAGAGAGGUCUUUGAUGAAAACCUGCUCCAGAGCGUUGAGGACCACAUACUGGGGCGAAGGUUCACCUUUCAGCAGGACAAUGACCCUAAUCACACAACCAAGACAACACAGGAGUGGCUUCAGGACAAGUCUCUGAAUGUCCUUGAGCGGCCCAGCCAGAGCCCGGACUUGAAACCGAUCGAACAUCUCUGGAGAAACCUGAAAAUAACAGUGCAGCGACACUCCCCAUCCAACCUGACAGAGCUUGAGAGGAUCUGUAGAGACAAAAGGGAGAAACUCCCCAAAUACAGGUGUGCGAAGCUUGUAGCGUCAUACCCAAGAAGACAUGAGGUUGUCAUUGCUGCCAAUGGUGCUUCAACAAAGUACUGAGUAAAGGGUCUAAAAAGUAUUUAAAUGUGAUAUUGUUGUGUCAUUAUAGGGUAUUGUGUGUAGAUUGAUGAGCGGAAAAAACUAUUUAAUCAAUUUUAGAAUAAGGCUGUAACAUAAUACAAUUCUGAAAAAGUAAAGGGGUUUGAAUACAUUCCGAACGCACUGUAUAUAACGUCUAGUGAGUGUCUGUAGGGUCAGUGCAGAUUGGGUACUAUUAAUUGACUAUUUAGCUGUCUGGUUAUUUUGCAGUCAUAUGUCUUGGUUGUAAAAGCUGUCUCGGAGCCUGUUGGUCCUUAGAGCCGAUGCUCAGGUAUCAUUUGCUGGACGAUAGCAGAGUGAACAGUCUAUAGAUUGUGUGGCUGGAGUCGUUGGCAAUUUUUCGGGUCUUUCUCUGACACUGCCUGAUAUAGAGGUCCUGGAUGGCAGGGAGCUCGGUCCCAGUGAUGUACUGGGCUGUCCACACCACCCUUUGUAUCGCUUUGCUGUCAAGGGCGGUGCAAUUGCCACACCAAGCGGUGAUGCAGCCACUCAAGAUGCUCUCGAUGGUGCAGCUGUAGAACUUUUUGAGGAUCCAAAUCUUUUCAGCCUCCUGAAGGGGAAGAGGCGGUGCUGUGUCCUCUUCGUGACUGUGCGGGUGUGUGUGGACCAUGUUAAGUCCUCAGUGAUGUGACGCCAAGGAACUUAAAGCUCUCAAGCUGCUCCACAACACCCCUGUCAAUGUGGAUGGGGGUGUGCUUUCCCUUCUUUCUCCUAUAGUCCACAAUCAGCUCAUUGGUCUUUCUUGACAUUGAGGGAGAGGUUGUUGUCCUGUCACCACACUGCUAAGUCUCUGACCUCUUCCCUAUAGCCUGACUCAUCGCGGUCGGUGAUCAGGCCUACAACUGCAAACUUGAUGAUGGUGUUGCAGUCUAGGAGGGGUAUAGGAGGGGACUAAGCACAUACCCCUGAGGGGCCCCUGUGUUGAGGGCCAGCGUGGCAGAGGUGUUGUUGUCUACCGUCACCACCUGGGGCAGACCAGUCAAGAAGUCUAGGAUCCAGUUUCAGAGGCAGGUGUUCAGUCCCAGGGUCCCUAGCUUAGUAAUGAGCUUGGUGUUAAACACUGAGCUGUACUCUGAACAGCAUUCUAAGAGUUAUUUCUCCUCUUGUCCAGGUGGGAGAGGGAUCUGAGUGGAUCUGUUGAUGCGGUAUAUGAAUUGGAGUGGGUCUAGGGUGUCUGGGAUUAUGGUGUCGAAGUGUGUCAUGACCAGCAUUUCAAAGCACUUCAUAAUUACAGAUGUGAGUGGCACAGGGUGGUAAUCAUUUAGACAUGUUACCUUGGAUCUCUUGGGAACAGGGACAAUGGUGGUCAGCUUGAAACAUGUUGGGAAUGGGACAAGACUGGGACAAGGAGAGUUUGAAAAUGUUAACCUCUUGGGGCUAUGUGGGACGCUAGCGUGCCACCCGUGGUGUACCCUAUCAACAGCAGGUGCAUUUCAAGAGCGGCAAAUUUGAAACCAAAUAAAUGUCAAAAUUCAAAUUUUUCAAACAUACAACUAUCUUACACCCUUUGAAAGAUAAACAUCUCCUUAAUCUAACCACGUUGUCCGAUUUCAAAAAGGUUUUACGGCGAAAGCAUAAAGUUAGAUUAUGUUAGGAGAGUACAUUGACAAUAGCUGUGUGUAAUGUUUUGUCAAUUCAAAGACAGGCGUCACCAAAACCAUAAAAUGAUGCACUAACCUUUUACAAUCUCCAUCAGAUGACACUCCUAGGACAUUAUGUUAGACAAUGCAUGCAUUUUCAGUUCUAUCAAGUUCAUAUUUAUAUCCAAAAACAGCGUUUUACUAUGGCGUUGAUGUUCAGGAAAUCGUUUCCCUUCAAUAACCGGCAGUCAAGUCAGCACCAGAAAUUAAAUAAUUAAAAUGAGAAAACAUUGGUAAAAUAUUAUAUUGUCAUUUAAAGAAUUAUAGAUUUACAUCUCUUGAACGCAAUCGACUUGCCAGAUUUAAAAAUAACCUUACUGGGA
rnacentral:lncRNA from 1 species